GUGUCAGCCGCCGCGGUAAUACGUAGGGGUCGAGCGUUGUCCGGAGUUACUGGGCGUAAAGCGUGUGCAGGCGGCGUCCUGCGCCUGGCGUGAAAGCCCCCGGCUCAACCGGGGAGGGUCGUCGGGGACGGGGACGCUUGAGGGGAUCAGGGGCAGGUGGAAUUCCCGGUGUAGUGGUGAAAUGCGUAGAGAUCGGGAGGAACACCCGUGGCGAAGGCGGCCUGCUGGGAUCCACCUGACGCUGAGACACGAAGGCGUGGGGAGCGAACGGGAUUAGAUACCCCAGUAGUCC
rnacentral:rRNA from 1 species